rnacentral:rRNA from 1 species
GACGAACGCUGGCGGCGUGCCUAAUACAUGCAAGUAGAACGCUGAAGGAGGAGCUUGCUCUUCUGGAUGAGUUGCGAACGGGUGAGUAACGCGUAGGUAACCUGCCUGGUAGCGGGGGAUAACUAUUGGAAACGAUAGCUAAUACCGCAUAAGAGUAGAUGUUGCGUGACAUUUGCUUAAAAGGUGCAAUUGCAUCACUACCAGAUGGACCUGCGUUGUAUUAGCUAGUUGGUGGGGUAACGGCUCACCAAGGCGACGAUACAUAGCCGACCUGAGAGGGGGAUCGGCCACACUGGGACUGAGACACGGCCCAGACUCCUACGGGAGGCAGCAGUAGGGAAUCUUCGGCAAUGGACGGAAGUCUGACCGAGCAACGCCGCGUGAGUGAAGAAGGUUUUCGGAUCGUAAAGCUCUGUUGUAAGAGAAGAACGAGUGUGAGAGUGGAAAGUUCACACUGUGACGGUAUCUUACCAGAAAGGGACGGCUAACUACGUG